rnacentral:rRNA from 1 species
GACAGAGGUGCCGAGCGUUAGGCGGAAUCACUGGGCUUAAAGCGUGUGUAGGCGGGUCGUUAAGUGUCUUGUGAAAUCCCACCGCUCAACGGUGGAACCGCUGGGCAUACUGGCGAUCUUGAGCAGUCCAGGGGCGAGCGGAACAAGCGGUGGAGCGGUGAAAUGCGUAGAUAUCAGGAGGAACACCGGUGGCGAAGGCGGGUCUCUGGGCCGUAACUGACGCUGAGGAGCGAAAGCAUGGGGAGCGAACAGG